GGAAUAUUGGACAAUGGGCGAAAGCCUGAUCCAGCAACGCCGCGUGGAGGACGAAGGCCUUCGGGUUGUAAACUCCUGUCAGGUGGGACGAAAAGGCUCCGGCGAAUAACCGGAGCCGCUGACGGUACCACCAGAGGAAGCCCCGGCUAACUCCGUCCCAGCAGCCGCGGUAAUACGGAGGGGGCGAGCGUUAUUCGGAAUUAUUGGGCGUAAAGGGCGCGUAGGCGGCCCGAUAAGUCAGGGGUGAAAUCCCUCGGCUCAACCGAGGAACUGCCCUUGAAACUGUCGGGCUUGAGGCCGGGAGAGGGUAGUGGAAUUCCGAGUGUAGCGGUGAAAUGCGUAGAUAUUCGGAGGAACACCAGUGGCGAAGGCGGCUACCUGGACCGGUUCUGACGCUGAGGCGCGAAAGCGUGGGGAGCAAAC
rnacentral:rRNA from 1 species